CCUACGGGAGGCAGCAGCUAAGAAUAUUCCGCAAUGGACGAAAGUCUGACGGAGCGACGCCGCGUGGAUGAAGAAGGCCGAAAGGUUGUAAAGUUCUUUUGUCGAUGAAGAAUAAGUGUGGGAGGGAAUGCCCGCAUGAUGACGUUAGUCGGCGAAUAAGCCCCGGCUAAUUACGUGCCAGCAGCCGCGGUAAU
rnacentral:rRNA from 1 species